CCUGUAAGAGCACUCUGUUCCUGUCAGAGACAAUGUAACCAAUGUAGUUGGUUGAGAGAAUAAGCAGGACAGGAAAGCACACAAAACGUUUAACACCAAACAACCACAUUACACAGUGGGCAUAGGGUGACUUAACCCCUUAAGGACCAAACUUCUGGAAUAAAAGGGAAUCAUGACAUGUCACACAUGUCAUGUGUCCUUAAGGGGUUAAACAUAGGAUCCGGCUUAUAAGGAAAUCUAACAUGAAAGCAACACUACAGGAUCAGGAACACAAACAUGCAUUCCUAACCCUAUAGUGUUUAAC